GCCAGAGUUUAGCAUAUUCUCAUAUCGCAUUCCUCCCGACUCAGAAAAUGGUUUUCUUUCAGACUGGUUGAGGCCAACAGAGGGACACUUGGCCACCUUAGGCAUCCAGAAAAAGACAGAUUGUGAUGGGAGAGAAGACACUCCUUGUUAGAAGGUUGGCAAGCUAAUAGGAAUUUGCAUGAACCACAGGUCGGAGUUCUCUUCCUUUUUACAAUCUUGGCUUCUACUGGGGGAGGAUGGAGGUUUGACUAAUCUUCCUAGACUGAUGGUGGUGGCAAGUUUUCAUGAUGGUCCCCAAUGAACCCCUUUCCUUGACUUUACAUUUUUGUGUAGAUGCCUCAUACAAUGGUUACAUUAUGACCAACAGAAUAUGGCAGAAGUGACAGCAAAACAAUUAUGAGGUUAGGUCACAAACAAUCCUUGACAUCUGUCCCACUUGCUCUUAAAUUGCGUGCUAGGAGGAAGAAAAAGGGGUUGCCUUGUUGUGAUUGGCCCAGAGGAGGGUUCCAUGUGAAAGAGAACUAAGGUCGGCUGUAAGUAGAAGGAACAGUCGCUUCAAUUACCCCAGCCAUGAGAAGCUCAGACCAUGGGGACACUCCCUGAGAACACUGCUGAGAUGGGACAUGGGAAAUAACAACAAAAGAAGCAUCCGAGGGGGAAGGUUUGAUCAUGGAGAAACGCUUGGGCAGGCAGCAGCUUCCAGACUCGCUGAAAAACUUUUGGCUGAAUUGGACUGGGAUUCUUGAGGUCAAGCGAACUUUUUAAAAUAUGUAAGCAGAUAUUUUGGAAUGUUUGAUUAAAUUUAGGGGCUAUGAAUACAAGGGGUGACUCAGAGGUUUCCUGCCAGCUUGGGAUGUUGUGUUGCUAUUUCUGAAGGUAACAGAGUGUCACUCCAGGACACACGCAUGGACCCAAUACUAAGUAAGCUUUGACCGUGACAAACUGAGUUUUUAAUUCCUCAUUUGCAAAAGAAUACUUAGG
rnacentral:sRNA from 1 species